CCCUUAGAUGUUCUGGGCCGCACGCGCGCUACACUGAUGCAUUCAACGAGUUUCUUCCUGGUCCGAGAGGAAUGGGUAACCUUUUGAAAGUGCAUCGUGAUAGGGAUAGACUAUUGCAAUUAUUGGCCUUCAACGAGGAAUUCCUAGUAGACGUAGUUCAUCAGACUGCAUCGAUUACGUCCCUGCCCUUUGUACACACCGCCCGUCGCUCCUACCGAUUGAAUGCUCAGGUGAGCCAUUCGGACUUUCAUCGUGCUGGUUUCCAGUUUUGAUGAAGGAAAGUCUUGCGAACCUUAUCAUUUAGAGGAAGGAGAAGUCGUAACA
rnacentral:rRNA from 1 species